UGUGAAGCCUGAAGAGGCACAGUAACAUGUUGGUGAAGUUCGCGACGACCUAUUUGUCCUUUGAUCCAUCAUUACUGCCCUCAAAAAUAAGCCCACUCUGUCAGCCUCUACAAAAUAUUCCCAUGUGUUCCUGGGUACUGCUGAGCAAGACAUCUGGAAGCAAGCAUCCUUGUUUUUCAACCAUGAUAACAAUAGAGGAAUUAGAAAAAUUAUGUUAAAUGUUUCAUUUUUCUGAUGGGGAAAAGAUCUCUAGCCAUGAGAGUUAAAUUCAGAAUGGAAGAUCUGGACCACCCUCCUGCCAUCAAAUUAAAAUGGAUUAAUUUGUACUUAUUCGGUGUUGCCAGGU